rnacentral:rRNA from 1 species
AUGGGCGAAAGCCUGAUGCAGCGACGCCGCGUGAGGGAUGACGGCCUUCGGGUUGUAAACCUCUUUCAGCAGGGAAGAAGCGAAAGUGACGGUACCUGCAGAAGAAGCGCCGGCUAACUACGUGCCAGCAGCCGCGGUAAUACGUAGGGCGCAAGCGUUGUCCGGAAUUAUUGGGCGUAAAGAGCUCGUAGGCGGYUUGUCACGUCGGKUGUGAAAKCCCGGGGCUUAACCCCGGGYYUGCAKUCGAUACGGGCAGGCUAGAGUKCGGUAGGGGAGAUYGGAAUUCCUGGUGUAGCGGUGAAAUGCGCAGAUAUCAGGAGGAACACCGGUGGCGAAGGCGGRUCUCUGGGCCGWUACUGACGCUGAGGAGCGAAAGCGUGGGGAGCGAACAGGAUUAGAUACCCUGGUAGUCCACGCCGUAAGUGCCCCGCCUGGG